rnacentral:rRNA from 1 species
UACGUAGGGCGCAAGCGUUAUCCGGAAUUAUUGGGCGUAAAGAGCUCGUAGGCGGUUUGUCGCGUCUGCUGUGAAAGACCGGGGCUCAACUCCGGUUCUGCAGUGGGUACGGGCAGACUAGAGUGAUGUAGGGGGAGACUGGAAUUCCUGGUGUAGCGGUGAAAUGCGCAGAUAUCAGGAGGAACACCGAUGGCGAAGGCAGGUCUCUGGGCAUUAACUGACGCUGAGGAGCGAAAGCAUGGGGAGCAAACAGG